AUACGUAGGGGGCGAGCGUUGUCCGGAAUGAUUGGGCGUAAAGGGCGCGUAGGCGGCGCGGUAAGUCUGGAGUGAAAGUCCUGCUUUCAAGGUGGGAAUUGCUUUGGAUACUGCCGCGCUUGAGUGCAGGAGAGGUUAUCGGAAUUCCCGGUGUAGCGGUGAAAUGCGUAGAGAUCGGGAGGAACACCAGUGGCGAAGGCGGGUAACUGGACAGUAACUGACGCUGAGGCGCGAAAGUGUGGGGAGCAAACAGGAUUAGAUACCCUGGUAGUCCACACUGUAAACGAUGAAUGCUAGGUGUAAGAGGUAUCGACCCCUUUUGUGCCGGAGUUAACACAAUAAGCAUUCCGCCUGGGGAGUACGGCCGCAAGGUUGAAACUCAAAUGAAUUGGCGGGG
rnacentral:rRNA from 1 species